UUGAAGAACAAAACCACGGGAGGCGUAUUGAACACGGGAGGCUUAUCAAACGUACGGCCCCAGAUUUGGAGGCGUUGCCCGGCGCGGCAAUAUUCUAAAAAACUUUUCCUGCGCAACGGAGAGCAAAUCGAAUAAUUACGACCGACAGAAAGAAGAUCGGCGUGCGACGCAGUCAGCUGCGUCACGAGGGAUUCGACUUUGCAGGACUGUACAAAAAAGACACCGGAGUAAAAUGGACGGCGUCAAAGGUCAGCAGUCGGAAUCUGGCGGUGAGACCCCGUGUGGAUUAGGAGAAAUAAAUGUGCCAGAAAAGA